rnacentral:lncRNA from 1 species
GGCUGCCUGUGUGUCUGUCAUUGCUACUGGGACCCCUCGGGGAUACCCACCCCCUGGGAUUGGCCUUGGAUCCUGCUGGUCCUCUACUAGCCCAACAUUCUGCUCCUGUUUGUGGAUGUUCAACUCUGAAAGUCCUCAAACAAGCCCCUAUGUGGUCACAAAGUACCCCCCUGGUCACUCAGGUCUGGAGGACUCCAAGCACUCUUUGCUGGGGGCCAGGCUCAGGGGCCUGAUGUUUCGAAUCGCCUUUCUGAGGGCCUGUCCUGGCUCCCAGGUGACUGUGGGAGAUCCUGAGCUAUGCCCUUGGAGCACCCUUCGCCAACUCCAGGCACAGCCAGUGUCCCCACCCUGGUGGCCUCUCCCCCUUGAACAGGCACACUGUGGCCCUGAGGAUGAUGUGUGAUGAUGACUUGUUCCUGAUUUGCCUCCCAUCAGUUUGUAAGCCUCUGGCACAUAGAAGCAAGGGCAGGAAGUCUCAGGUGGCGCUGACGGAGCAGAGAAGAGACACACAGACCCAUGUGAGCCUUCACCCCCGGGCUGGGCUGGAGAGCGAUGCUGUUGGACUGAACAGGAGCCCAGUUGAUCGGGGCCUGGUGGAGGCGACAAAGCUGCCAGGCCCCAGCCUCGGAGCUCUUUGAUGGGCCUUUCAGGCCAGGUGACACUGACUCACCCAGUCACACAGAGGUUUCUCCAGCAUGAGUGUGGCCACAAUUUAGAGACUCUGGGAGUCGGGGUCCUUCACUUUGCAGGUGGGGGUUGGAUGCCCCGGCAGACAAGACCUCAGAGGACGGGAGAUGGGAGUCUUUUCAACACAUCCUAAGGCACCAGGGUGGCGGAGGCUUCGUGCAUAGUGAUAAUACACAAUGGA